CUCUCUCUCUCUCUCUCUCUCUUCUCUCUCUCUCCUUUCAGACUCUCUCCUAAGCAAGGAGUUGUGCUCAGGGUGCCUAGAUCAUCUCCCGGACAUCUUUAACCCUAGGAGAAAAUCUCAUCCUGCAAGUCCUUCAGCCCAGCAAUCCAGGAAAAACUCCUGUGAUGCUCAACAUUCUUUCCGAGACUUAAGAUCCAGCUGUGUUACUCUAAAUCCUCACACAGACUCAUCAGCGUGCAGGAGACUGCUGCUUCGACUCGCUUGGUCUUGUACUUAUCUUCCUCCAAGAUCCAGUUCACAGUGGAAUGCUGAGUCUGGUGCGACUUCCUGUACCUAUCAAAUUCACUCUAAAGACAGGAUGAAUGCUGCAAGCCCACAGGAAGCCAGGAACUGAGCAGGCGAAGGAAGAUGCAGUCCCUCUUAGGAGUAAGGAUGAGCAAAUCACUUAAAAGCGUCAAGACAAUCUCUUCUGAAGGAUUGGAUCUGAUCCUGUCACCAUCCUGGCCCCUUCCCGGAGAUGCUUUCUGAUUUGUCAAUGUCCUUCCUGUGGAACCUAGAACUGAGCAGCCACCUUAUUUUUAGUCAGUGCCCCCCAAUUGCACUUGAGGCUACUACUGCCCCCCAAGCAUUCCAGUGCCCCCCCAUGGAGCCGUAUCACCCACUUUGGGAACCUCUUUAGACUGAGGUGCUAGGAGCAGAAGUUCAAAAACCAGACUUGAAGACAAGACCUAAAGGUUUCUCAAGCUGUUUGGGAGGGUCUGCCUAGCCCGAGUUUGCAUCAUAACAGAGCUAAGGCUAAUCCCUGGGGCUACCAAGCUGAAGACCCAGCAGAUCCCUUCCUCUACUGCAGAGGAAGAAGUUGCAAAAUAGCAGAAGAGCAGCAGAUGGUAGCAGAGCGUGACAGCAACAGCAGAUGAGAUGCCCAGCAGAGACUGGCGGCAGCAGGAAAAACAGAGACAUCCAGCUGACAAAGCACUGAGAUAAAGAGAACAAAAGGGCAGAAAACCCUAGCUCAGUGGAGAAAACAGCUUGUCCUAGGACCUCACCUAACAUCAACAGUUCUGAAGCACUAGAGAUGUGAGUUUUCCUUAUCAUAUGUUCCUAGUCAUAUGUGCUCUGUGUGCGUAUCUACUCUCUUUCUGGUAGUAUGGUAA